CCUCCCCUUGUAAUCCGGCCCCAGAACAAGGCCUCCAUUCAGUUCAGCUGGACCCUAAUCUGGGCCUACGGAUUCAUAAGCUUCCAUAAUUAGCUCCUGGCUUUAUCAAACCCAACGCAGCCUUUUUCAUUCAAAUCAAACUCCUGUCCCUUUCCCCGAGAAACAAAACCAAUUAAGUUGUACAUUGCACAGCCAGAUAGAACAUGACGUCGCCCGUAGCAUUGCUGGAGUAAGGUCAUUUGACGUGCGGAUGUGUGUGUGUGUGUGUGUGUGUGUGUGUGUGUGUGUGUGUGUGUGUGUGUGUGCGGGAGCAGGUGGAGGAAGGGAAAGAAGUGCUAAGUCAUCCUCUGAUUGAACAGCAAAGUCACGGCACAGACCUGUGGCUCUGUUACUUGAGGUUCUGUUACUCAUUCUUAGAGGGAAAAAAAAUAAAAUAAGAAGAGACAAGGCUUUGAUGUGUAAAUCCGAGAGACUGUCUUUUCAAGAGUGUCUGCUUGCCCUCUCCCUUCACCGAGAGAUUUCGACUCUUCCUACAUCAAAACGACACUGUAGACAGAAAACCCUUUGUUGAACUCUUUGCCAGCCAGAUAUAGUGGCUCGAAAAUGACUUCAAGAAUUCAAGACAGACCAACUCGCCAUCUCACUCAGACCAGGAUGGCGUGAGAUCAGCCAAAACAAGAGGAGGUGCGGACUCGUCUGCCACGAGAAGACUGGCACCAGGUCACAGAGCCUUGAUGCGGAGUAAGGAGAAAGUCAGAUCAGGAAAAGUCCGUCUCAAAAACAACUCUGACCAUCAGGGGAAAUGAAACCGCAUGUCACUCUUCACAUCCUCGACACAAGACACGCAUCUCUCGGAGUUCGGGGCCUACAAGAGUGGCCUCAGGACACCUGAUAAAGGACCCACCAGGAAGUGUGUUUGGGCACUAAUCAAAGGCGGUCGGCAGCGGGUGGCAGCUCUCGAUUCGUGCAGUCUGAAAGGUCUGGGCUCUUAUUGAAGCAAUUUGACCCCGAGGAGAGGGGGGUGGGGGGGGAGCGAGACGGCAGACAUGAUUCACUUUAGCCGCCUGGAGCGCACGGGUUCAUC
ensembl:lncRNA